CAGUCAUCAAGAAAGGCUGAGGGAAUAGACCCGAUGAUGCCUUGACAACCGAUCCCGCAAGGGACACGGUGCCGCAUUCUACCUCCGGCCACGUAUUCAUGAUCGAUUUGUUGCCGAGACGAGGAAAGAUGAGUG
rnacentral:ncRNA from 2 species